rnacentral:rRNA from 1 species
AUGGCGGCGACAGAGCACAGGGUUGGUGACAACAGUUGGACGAGGUGGUCUACAGGUGAGGAACGGCCGCCAAGCAUUCCUCUGGCCACCGCACUGGAGCCUCGUCAGCUAAGGCUACAAUGGCACUGCCAGUCCCUCCUCUUUCUCCCUCUCCCAUGCCACCGUUCCCCUCCCUCAUCCAUCAACACAGCCCGGUCCACCUCACUGAGAGCUCUCGGCGGUAGGGGGAAUGGCAGUGACGGUGGCUACUGGAUAGUAGGGACUCGCCGAGGUGGUCCAUUCCAAGGAAGAGGGAGAGGAUGCCGGUGA